UUGGGAUCGAUAGCGGAAGUAAGCGAGGAAGGAUUAUUCUGACAUAAUAUGCUUCGUUAGUGACAAAUUAUUUAUAUAAUGUAUAUAUAAAAACAUAGCCUAUAGGCUACUAAAUGUUAAACCAUUAUCAUUGGAUGUUAUGCAAAUAGCUUACACAUGACAGUAAGGUGUUAGGCAAAUGCUUAUAAGCAUUCAGGUUGUCAGUUUUGAUGCAACUGUUUCAACUCAGCUCUGUGAGGCUCCCAUGUCAUCAUCAUUUGGUCCGAAAAUGGCUGCCUAGAAGCAGCUGCAGUAGAUGGAAACUGGAACCGUGCCACAAUAACUGUCCAGGUUAUGGUCUGCACCUGUCUGCAUCAUCGACCGAGUCUGGAUGAGGGGAUCCCUCACUGAAUCGCUCCUAACAAGGUCUGCUCAGCUCUGAAAGUAGGAAAAACUAAGGCUAUUUUGGGGCUUUGUUUGACCCACUGAAACCAUGAUGAUUUCCUGUCUCUGGUGGAGGUGGUUAUUAAUGUCACUAGAGGCUUACGGAUUGGCCACACUCGAGGCUCUACCACAGACGACUCUGAGAAGUAAACAGUGCAUUUUGUACUUAUGAAACAACAAUUCUUUGCCAGUUAGAUUAUUUUCAUGCUACCACGGCUUGGAAACUGGGUCAGGACUUUCAUGUGUCUGGUUAAUUACCAGACAGAAUGGCCUUACACAUGUGGAUUAUGUGUAAUCACUGCCCUGGUCAAGACACACAACAAAUUAUAUAAAACGGUGACUAGGACAUAGAGCAACAUCGUUACCACUUGGUUUGAUUUGACAGGAUUUUAUUCUAUUAUAACUCAACCUAAUUCUAAUCCUAUGCAUGUGUCACACGUCAAGGUCAUGUCAUGAAUUUAUUACGAUGAGAUUGAGGAUGAGGGUAGGUCUGGCUGAGGAUGACUAUGGUCACCUUCCAUUCCUCUGAUUGGCUUCUUCUCAGUCGCCCGCAAUAAAUGACUUUCAAAAUUA